GAUGAACGCUGGCGGCGUGCCUAAUACAUGCAAGUCGAACGCAUUGAGAAAAGUGCUUGCACUUUUCAAUUUGAGUGGCGAACGGGUGAGUAACACGUGGGCAACCUACCUGAUAGCGGGGGAUAACGAGUGGAAACAUUCGCUAAUACCGCAUAACAAUAGAGAAGGCAUCUUCUUUAUUUAAAAGGCGCUUUCAAGCGUCACUAUCAGAUGGGCCCGCGGUGCAUUAGUGAGUUGGUGGGGUGAAGGCCUACCAAGACGAUGAUGCAUAGCCGAGUUGAGGGACUGAUCGGCCACAUUGGGACUGAGACACGGCCCAAACUCCUACGGGAGGCUGCAGUAGGGAAUCUUCCACAAUGGACGAAAGUCUGAUGGAGCAACGCCGCGUGUGUGAUGAAGGCUUUCGGGUCGUAAAGCACUGUUGUAUGGGAAGAAAUGCUAGGCUAGGAAAUGAGCUUAGUUUGACGGUACCAUACCAGAAAGGGACGGCUAAAUACGUGCCAGCCGCCGCGGUAA
rnacentral:rRNA from 1 species